GGUCAUCCUCUUAUCUUAUAACCAUCUUCAUUACAAGAGAGAAGAACAUACGAGAGUUCAAAGGCGAAAUCUUCAUAAAAUGGCUUUCCACGUCAGUCACUCUUUUUUCUUUGGAAUUUUGUGCAUUGCUUUGCUCCUGAUUUCAGGAACAGUAACAUGUUUAGACUGUAUAGGAACUUGCUCAGCAAGUUGCAGCCAAGAGUGUGUUAUGCGUGGUUAUGCAGGUGGAGGCCAUUGUAUCGGAUCUGUAGCAUGUUGUUGUUUGAGAAAUUGAUUACUUUUGACCCCUCUCUAGAGUAUGAAAAAUAAAACAUCGGUUGCUUAUUGCUACCAAUCUAGAAUAAUGUAUUAUCCGUGGCUAUAAUAUUAAUAAUGGAGGUGCUUAUUAAUUGUCUCGGA